UAGAUGCCAGAAGAGUGGGAGUCGGCAGCUGCUCAGGAAGCCACAGUUAUCCUGAGACCAGAGGACAAAGGACUGUGGUUCCGAGGAGAUGGUGUGGGAAGCACUCGCCUGAGGUACAGGAAGCUGUGGACUGUUUGCUGAUAACCUUUCAAGGAUCUCGAAGAAACAGCGCAGGAGCCGGGCUCCGGUUCCCCGAUGAAUUGAGCGUUUGUUGCCUUGGAAAAAGAUCCAUCCUGUGGGGGUGUCCGUGGCAGCUGACUGACUCCCAGAAAGGAUGAAGGAUUACAAACCGGGCUCCAGUUGGAUGUGAUUUCAGCCGAGUGUGACUCAUCCUCCUCACAAGAGCUGUAACACAUGUCGUCUCAGCCCUGGAGUGGAGAGGAUUCUCGGUGUUUUCUACAAAGUUCCAUAAAUAAGACCUGCAUCCUUAAUGGGCAGCCCUGUGCAUUGAGUGCACCAUUCAGGAAGGGACUCACAUCCACCUUCCUCCACAACGGAAUCAAUGUGUUGAACAGCGACUGCUGAUGUAAGAUCAGCUUCCCGGCCCAUUGCACAGCUUGUUCAUGGAGGAGAAUUGUUCUUCAGUCCUUGAACUUUCAGAUAGCUGGUCAAAGCAAAUGGACAAGUUUUGAUUUCUUUUGUUUUGUUUUAAUUAAAGAGGAAAAUAUCACACCUUGGUAUGGCUGGCAACCAAAGGCAGGGUUUCAUCCCGAAGGGUAGCUUUACAGACGGUGCCUAGAGUCUGGAAACAAGGGCCAGGCCUACUUACUGCAAUUCUUGGUAUCUCUGUAGAAACCACGAGCAGCCGUGAGUUCU